AGAGUGACUGCAGCAAGGACAUUUCCAUCGGACAUGGCUCAGAUGUGUGAAGCUGAAAGAUUCUGCGAUUAUGUUGAGACCUCCCACGUUGAAUGUUGUAGCUUUACUUCUUCAUCUUCCAUGUUAUGAGAGAGAAAAAAGAAGAAGAAGAAGGAGAAGAAGAAGAUGAUGAUGAUAUGGAUUAUGGCUCUGUGAUGCUCCACUCAGUAACUUGAAAGGGAGGAAUAAAAACACGGAAAGCCAGAGUCCACAUGAAGCAGGACAUCUCCUACUUUGUCUUAGAAGCACAGAGGUCGCCAGAAGGACAUUCUGCCUCCCUAGAAAAUCAUUUCUAGAGAACCAUUCCAAACAAAGACUUCAGAUGAAACAGGCUCUAAGGAGUCAACACCAACAAAACAGCUGAUUUCAAAAAUCUUUGAAAUGCACAUAGCCAAAGAGCUCUUUUCUGUUGUUGGUGGGGUUUCGGCUUUAGCUCACAUUUACCACUUCCCUCUCAAGCUGCAAGCUCAUGGAGGGCUGCUGUGAACAUGCCCUGGGAGAGCACUCCGUCAGCCAGCAAGAGGAGAAAGGGCAUGAGACCACACCGACCGAGAAGAUACUGGAAGACUUCUCCCCAGUGGCCCUCUCCCCCGCUGCCUGGAAAUGCCUUCACACUCCACUGUCUGACUCAUCCAAGAGCAGACAACAAGCAAUCACGUUCGUUGAUUACAAUUAGACCUAUCUAGAAUAUAAAUAUUCCUUUCAAGUAGCUAUAUUACUCUAUCUGUGAAGCAUGUAGAAUGUCUGCUUUGUGUCGUUUUUCCAUUAAA